AACGAACGCUGGCGGCAGGCCUAACACAUGCAAGUCGAGCGAGACCUUCGGGUCUAGCGGCGGACGGGUUAGUAACGCGUGGGAACGUGCCCUUCUCUGCGGAAUAGCCACUGGAAACGGUGAGUAAUACCGCAUACGCCCUUCGGGGGAAAGAUUUAUCGGAGAAGGAUCGGCCCGCGUUAGAUUAGAUAGCUGGUGGGGUAACGGCCUACCAAGUCUACGAUCUAUAGCUGGUUUUAGAGGAUGAUCAGCAACACUGGGACUGAGACACAGCCCAGACUCCUACGGGAGGCAGCAGUGGGGAAUCUUAGACAAUGGGCGCAAGCCUGAUCUAGCCAUGCCGCGUGUGUGAUGAAGGUCUUAGGAUCGUAAAGCACUUUCGCCAGGGAUGAUAAUGACAGUACCUGGUAAAGAAACCCCGGCUAACUCCGUG
rnacentral:rRNA from 1 species